GAUGAACGCUGACAGAAUGCUUAACACAUGCAAGUCUACCAAGAAUCACUUCGGUGAGGAAUGGUGGCGGACGGGUGAGUAACGCGUAAAUAAUCUGCCCUGUAGACUGGGAUAUACUUUGGAAACGAAGCUUAAUACCGGAUAUUAUGAAAUGGACGCAUGUUCAACUUAUGCAAGCUAAAUGCACUAGAGGAGGAGUUUGCGUCCCAUUAGCUAGUUGGUGAGGUAAAGGCUCACCAAGGCCACGAUGGGUAGCCGGCCUGAGAGGGUGAACGGCCAAAAGGGAACUGAGACACAGUCCUUACUCCUACGGGAGGCAGUAGUGGGGAAUAUUGGACAAUGGACCAAAAGUCUGAUCCAGCAAUUCUGUGUGCACGAUGAAGGUCUUCGGAUUGUAAAGUGCUUUCAGUAGGGAAGAAAAAAAUGACGGUACCUACAGAAGAAGCGACGGCUAAAUAUGUGCCAGCAGCCGCCGUAG
rnacentral:rRNA from 1 species